GACGAACGCUGGCGGCGUGCUUAAUACAUGCAAGUCGAACGCGGGGGGGACGGGUGAGUAACACGUGGGUAACCUCCCAACAGAGGGGGUAACACUUGGAAAUAGGGGCUAAACCGACACCGACGGAUGAACCCGCGGUGCAUGGGCUGGUUGGUGAGGUAACGGCUCACCAGGGCCACGAUGAGUAGCCGGCCUGAGAGGGUGAUGGGCCACCCUGGGACUGAGACACGGCCCAGACUCCUACGGGAGGCAGCAGUAGGGAAUCUUCGGCAAUGGACGAAAGUCUGACCGAGCAACGCCGCGGGAGUGAAGUGGGUGUUCGGAUCGUAAAGCUCUGUUGUUAGAGAAGCGGUAUCUAACCAGAAAGCCACGGCUAACUACGUGCCAGCAGCCGCGGUAAUAC
rnacentral:rRNA from 1 species